GUCGAGCGGUAGAGAGAAGCUUGCUUCUCUUGAGAGCGGCGGACGGGUGAGUCCCUUAUAAGGCCUCUGCCUGGUAGUGGGGGAUAACGUUCGGAAACCAUCGCUAAUACCGCAUACGUCCUACGGGAGAAAGCAGGGGACCUUCGGGCCUUGCGCUAUCAGAUGAGCCUAGGUCGGAUUAGCUAGUUGGUGGGGUAAUGGCUCACCAAGGCGACGAAUCCGUAACUGGUCUGAGAGGAUGAUCAGUCACACUGGAACUGAGACACGGUCCAGACUCCUACGGGAGGCAGCAGUGGGGAAUAUUGGACAAUGGGCGAAAGCCUGAUCCAGCCAUGCCGCGUGUGUGAAGAAGGUCUUCGGAUUGUAAAGCACUUUAAGUUGGGAGGAAGGGCCAUUACCUAAUACGUGAUGGUUUUGACGUUACCGACAGAAUAAGCACCGGCUAACUCUGUGCCAGCAGCCGCGGUAAUACAGAGGGUGCAAGCGUUAAUCGGAAUUACUGGGCGUAAAGCGCGCGUAGGUGGUUUGUUAAGUUGGAUGUGAAAUCCCCGGGCUCAACCUGGGAACUGCAUUCAAAACUGACUGACUAGAGUAUGGUAGAGGGUGGUGGAAUUUCCUGUGUAGCGGUGAAAUGCGUAGAUAUAGGAAGGAACACCAGUGGCGAAGGCGACCCACCUGACUGAUACUGACACUGAGGUGCGAAAGCGUGGGGAGGAAACAAGAAUAGAUAAACUGGGUAGUCCACGCCGCAAACGAUGUCCACUAGGCGUUGGGGAGCCUGAGGUCUUAUUGGCGCGGCUAACGCCUUAAGAUGACCGCCUGGGGGGGACCGGCGCCGGGGUAAAA
rnacentral:rRNA from 1 species